GAGAGAGCGCAUGGAGCUGCGAGUUCGUAGACGUUGUUAUCGUCGUCGCCGACGAUUGCUCGUAUACAAAUCACUUGUAAAUGUGGACGGCACACUUGGUGCUGCUGCAUCUACAGAUGAAUUACACUUUCGUAUAAUUCUCCGAAUAAACCGAAGUCGACAAUUCGCCUUCCCUACUACAAUCUCUACAAGCUCAUUCCAUUUGAUAUCGCUUGGAAACGUUACACCUAGAUAUUUCAUCAGUGCGGUUGUGUCAAGCAGUGCAGUACUAAUGAUGUACUCGAAUAUUUAUGGCAUUUGAAGAGAAAAGUUUAUUUCAGUAAGUGGUGAAUCAUCAGUCAAUGAGACUAUUUCCUUUGCUUCCAGAACUACAAGAAGAGACAGAUAAUUCUUAUGAGGCUAAGGAAAUAAAUCAUGGUUCGUCUUCGACCAUACGAUCUUUGGCCAAGCUUGGGUCGCAGUUGUGACCUAGACUAUCAGUAGGCUACUUGUUGUCUGAACUGAUGCUGUAAGGAAGAGGAUUUACAUUUUUCAAGUCAUUCUAUGC